rnacentral:lncRNA from 1 species
AACACCCAGGGCCCCGUGCUUUUAGCUGAAUAAAGGUCAGGCCGUCCGCUGUCUCGGUGGCCGCCCAUCAUCGCAAGGGACGAGAGGCCCCCCAGGGAAGGUCAACGUAUGCAAAGCUCCGGGCUCACCUCCGCAAGCAGGAGACAUUUCCAUUUUUACUCCGUUUGGUGGGUGGGUAUUUAUGCUUUUCACUUUUAACCACUCCGUUUAGGGCGUUCGCCUGGGAAACACCGUCUUGCACAGGACCAAAGCCGUCCUUUGCCAGAAAUCAUGAUACUGUGGCUUAGACUUGGCUUUGUCCUAAAAGAUUUCUCGCUCAGGGCCCUGGAGGCUGCCCCAAGGCCCAGAAGGGGAAUCUGCUGGACACUGACCCGGGCCUGCUGCCUGGCCGGCCGGGCCUUGCCUUCUGCGCUCCCUGUAGGUGAUUCAAAGCCACUCCUUCAGAGUGAAGACAUUAAGGUCGACCUGACUGCCCCCAGGAGUUUCCUUGUGCAGCAAGCUCAGGGAUUUCCCUCCAAAUCCUGUGAAAGCUGCUGGGUCUCCGAGGACCAGGCCUUCUUUCAGAGGAGAGGAGCUGCUUGUCUCUGAAGCAGCUCAGCAGGGGAAGGACUAUUUGCAUUGGGUUUUGUUUAAUUUGCCCGAGCCAAGCACACUGAGUCCAUUUGCCAUCACAUUAUCUAAGACAGCUCCAGAGCUUCUCAUUCUAGGAUCAAUUCCAUCCCGGAGUGACAUCCACUUAACACCCAGGGCCCCGUGCUUUUAGCUGAAUAAAGGUCAGGCCGUCCGCUGUCUCGGUGGCCGCCCAUCAUCGCAAGGGACGAGAGGCCCCCCAGGGAAGGUCAACGUAUGCAAAGCUCCGGGCUCACCUCCGCAAGCAGGAGACAUUUCCAUUUUUACUCCGUUUGGUGGGUGGGUAUUUAUGCUUUUCACUUUUAACCACUCCGUUUAGGGCGUUCGCCUGGGAAACACCGUCUUGCACAGGACCAAAGCCGUCCUUUGCCAGAAAUCUCCGCUCUGAUGAUCUGCAGAUGUGUGAACCCCGCGCCCAGUGGAAGUGGAGACAAUAAGUUAAUAGAUCACAGCCCCCCUUCCAGUCACUUCUCGGAACCACAUGCGUUUUAAUUAACCCUUGUUGAUGGAACGGGGAGGGGCUGCAAGGACCCUCCUGGCAUCUCUCCCUGGGGUGAGGGGUGAGUCUUGGCUGUACCUGGGCCAGGAGCCGCCCAACCCGCCUGCUAAGUCAGAAGUCCUGAGGGAGUCGUCGGUGGUCCAGGGCGGUGAACAGCUGGGGCUGAGAGCAGCUGCUGUGCCCCUGAGCUGCUGAGAGCGAGGGGGUCUCUGUGGAGGGAGGGGUUUCGGGCUGCAGCGUG